GAUGAACGCUGGCGGCGUGCUUAACACAUGCAAGUCGAACGAGAAGUGAAGACGGAAACCUUCGGGCGGAAGGCUUUAUUUCGAGUGGCGGACGGGUGAGUAACGCGUGGGUAACCUGCCUCAUACAGGGGGAUAACAGUUGGAAACGACUGUUAAUACCGCAUAAGACCACAGCACCGCAUGGUGCGGGGGUAAAAACUCCGGUGGUAUGAGAUGGACCCGCGUUCGAUUAGCCAGUUGGCGGGGUAACGGCCCACCAAAGCGACGAUCGAUAGCCGAUCUGAGAGGAAGACCGGCCACAUUGGGAAUGAGACACGGCCCAAACUCCUACGGGAGGAAGGAGGGGGGAAUAAUGGAAAAUGGGGGAAACCCUGAUGCAGCGACGCCGCGUGAGUGAAGAAGUAUUUCGGUAUGUAAAGCUCUAUCAGCAGGGAAGAAAAUGACGGUACCUGAGUAAGAAGCCCCGGCUAACUACGUG
rnacentral:rRNA from 1 species